rnacentral:misc_RNA from 1 species
CCCCCCCCCGCUCUCUCCCUCUCCCCUCCCGUGUUUACCUCGCAUCAGCUCCGCGUCUUCGCUGCUGUCAUAAUGCCCCGGCUGCGCGCCGCUCGCGCCGCCUGGUAUGCCGGCCAGGAGCUCGACACAUACCUCCGCCAGCGCGCAUGGCACUGGACAGUGAAGCGUAACUACGCCCUCGCGGCGGACUACUGCAUUCGGCUACUGAACCGGCACCCGCAAGACACGCUGGGGCUCGUCCUCGGUGAGGUGUCGGGCCGCUACACCAGCCAAGAUACCUUUGUAUCCAAGUGCGCACAGGCACUGCAGGAGAGCUGUCAGCGUAAGGGUGUGGCCAGUGUAACGGAGCUCGUGCAGUGCACCUUGGUGACGAGGGCAGCCAACCCGCCCUCCUUGUCGACAACGGCGUCUGCAAGCCUCACGCAACUCCCUUCCGCUGAUGCCGUGCUGGCGCUGCAGGCCGAUGAGGCUAAGAGGGAGGCGGAUGCACGCGAUACGGGAGCGCAUACAGGUGGUCUCAAGGGUGAGUCUCUCUACGUGCACAAUAGUGAACCGCCGGACUCCAUCAACCAAGCGGUGCGGCGCUCCUGUCUACGCAGUGCGACGCCGCCGCUGGCAGAGCUGCUGGAGCCGGUGCAGUCGACCUACGGGCGGGGACUUUAUGCGACGCGGCACAUCCAGCCACGGAGCAGCAUCCUGUGCGAGUCGCCGCUCCUCGUGCAGCGCUGCGAUGACACGAAGUGCGCGCACUGCCUCGCGCCGCUGUCCGCCCGCCGCGGCAGCAGCAUCACCGACACAGGCGCCAGCGACCCCCUCGCGUCUGGCGUGGCAUGCCCGCACUGCCAGCAUGAAACCUACUGCUCCGAGGACUGUAGAGAUGCGGCGUGGGAGCAGUACCAUGUCUGCAGCUGCGCCUCCAGAAACCCCGAGCUAGCACAGUGGACGGAAGGCAUGCGCGAGCUGCUACACCGCGGCGGCGCUGGAGCCGCAUCAGCGGCGUCCGAUGAGGCAGGUGUCGUUAACUCCGGCUCCGAGGCGCGCGCAGCACUGUCGUGCCUGACAGUAGCAAAGAUAUGCGCCAUGGCAACCGUGCAGCAGGUCCACCCACUGAGUCUGCCGGGGAUCUCGUGUCUGCGCGGCAUCGCUGACUACGAGCCAGCAACAGCCCUCAGCGAGAUUGGCGCUCUCGCAGUCGCCCUGAGCGCGGCGCUACGCCAGCCGAACCUGUACAUGGAGGAGGUGCUGUCGCUCUUCGCACUGCUGCACAUGAACGAGUUCUUCGCAGGGAGCGGCAUCGCGGUCUACUCGGUGCUGAGCAUGCUGAACCACAGCUGUGACCCGAACUGCGCCUUGGUGAGCGCGGCCAACUCGCCGGUGGCGGGCGCACACGGAUCAAGAAGGCACAAGAGUGCCAUGGAGAAGCACCUCGUCGCGCUUCGGCCGAUCCGCGACGGCGAGCAGCUGUUUAUUGACUACAACGCCGCCCUCACGACGAGGCUCGACUACGAGGAACGCAAGGCGCUCUGUGCGCAGCGGCACUUCGAGUGUUACUGCUCCCGCUGCAUCCGCCGCGAAUGAUGGUGCGAAAGAGGACAGUCAGCACCGCAUGUGCGUGCCGCUGCAUGCCGUUUCGCACAAGGCGCUAUGGUGGGGAUGUCUUCACAGGACUAAUCGACCAAGCUUGCCCCCGUAGUGGGUGCAGCAAUGAUGUGUUUGCGCGGGCGUUGGCCCCUCCCCCCGACGGCACCGCCUCCUUCCUUAUACCUAUCCACGCAAGCGCAACGCUGCACCGGAGGGGAGCGCGAUGGGGUAAGCACCUGCAGAGGGCGCCAAAGGAGUGACGUGCGCGGACACCCAACGGAAAAUGACGACUACGAGCGCUUGGGAUGCCAGCGGGGAAGAGGUGCGCAGGAUGACGCCUGCUGUGUCGCGCACGGGCAUGCGGCAAGCGAGAGACACGCACGCACGCGCCGGCUCCCGCAAAGGGGCGGGAGAUGCGCCCCUCUCUUUCCACCUUUCCGCGGUAGGAGAGGUACCGCUCGGUAUUUGAUCGCGCUCACAUGGUCCAUACGCGUGCAUGCGCACGCGUGCUGCUGCCUUGGCUGCUUCUUCGUUCAUCGUUGCCUUCCUGCUUGCCUGCCCUCUCUCUCUUUUGCCUUUUCCUUCGCCCUCCCGCCACCCCACCACCGCUUCAUCAUCGGCGCCCUCACGUGUCUUCGCGGCGGUGUGCGGGAUGGGGCAG